rnacentral:rRNA from 1 species
AAAAUUUUAAAGGUCGAACAGACCUAUUAUUGUGAAACCUACCCCACAAAAAAAUUUUAAUCCAACAUCGAGGUCGCAAAAAUAUUUAUCAAUAAGAACUAUCCAAAUAUAUUACG